CAAACAACAGACAUCUUAACUCGAACGAUUUCAAUUAUUCUAUUAUAAUUUUAUAAGUAUUUGACGAAAAUAUUUUGUGCGUUAAAAAAAAAUCAUAAAUCUGUUUUUAACGCUAUUCUUUAUUAGUUAAUUCGCUAAGGAACAAAGACGACAAUCAUAGAGGUUCGUUAAAGUGUAUAGGUUUAAUAACUUAAUGAUGAAGACGGGCGAUACUCGCACGUCGCGUAUCGUAUCCGGCUACCGGGUCAUGAGGACCAUAUUUGGCGGCACGAAAGCCUGCUUGUAACCAAAGUGAAAUUCCAAUGAGCCUAAUUCGCUCGCCAGACAUGUCGAGAAUUCCUUUUGCGUUCCUUCCAUUUAUCGAACCUUAACGUCCGAAGGUGAGAUCCCGCGGAUACAAUGGGUCAAUAAAUAUUAUUCAUCGACGGACAUUUUUGCAGAAAUGCGCUUCACGGAUCGUGUGGCGCCAAGAAACACACACAAAAACGAAAAUAUCGAUACUUAUUGAAAAGUUCCUAGGAAAAAAUUAAGAAGAUGAUAAUAAGAUUUUCAGAUGCUCAUAAGCAACAAUUACAUUUUUAAAUGUUAAAUUGGCCAAGAAGAGACAGUUUGAUCAACAACGAAGGAUCGAGACACGGUUGAUCGAUCAGUGCAUGAACGAACGAGAUUUGAUAAACCUAAUUAUUUUGCCUAAAUAUCUUCAUUAGAGGCAUGGAACAAUUUUUCGCGCAUGAUUGUUGCUACCGCAAUGAAUAUAUGCACAUAUGAAUAUAAUAUGCUCGAUGAAGCAGCGCAAGCGCAAAGUGAUUCGAUAUAUCGACGAUUCGAGUUGAUUAUAGGCUCGAUUUAGAGUCUCAGAGCAUAGAAACGAUGAAGCAAUUCGUUCUCCUGUUAGAGUCGUAACAGCGGUAUAAAAGUGUCGUAACAACGACCUAAUAGCAAUCACGUUGAAAAGGGAAGGGAAAAGGAAGGAAGAUUUCUAUUGAUUUUUAUUCAAGCCCGCUACUUUAUAUUUAGCGAUAGAAAAUAUCCUGAAAUUCUUGAAUAUUUGAAUUUUUUAUAAAAAUCUUGAAAAUUUUUCGUGGAAGAAAAAAACUAAUAAUAAGCUGGAAGAAAAUAAUAUUGUAUAUAAUAUAUAAUAUGUAAAAUUUAAAAGAAAAUAUAAAAUUUUCUUAAACCAUAUAUCUUGAAUUAUUCCCGUUCUUUAUAACAAAACUUCUUCGUGAGAAAUAAGCUUGUAAUAGUACUUAAAGGAAUAUUUUAAUCUGUAUUCAAAUAAUUUAAAUUGAAGAAAAUUUAUAAUUGUAUAGAAUAUAAAGAAUUUUUUAAAAAACUGUAAUUUAGCACGAAGUAUAAACAUGGAUGGAAAAGGUAUAGUUAGAAGAAAACUAACGGUUUUUCAAGGAAAUAAGAUUUGAUAAUCCAAUAAUAUUCCUUAUGAAAAUAUUCGUAAAAAAAUUAAAAGUAUGGAGCCAAAAUAUAAUUUUAAAAAAGAUUAUUGUCAAUAAUCUUAAUAAAAUUCAUAAUAAAAUUCCUGAUUCCUAUUCCUAAAAGUGGUAAUAAUUUAUGGAGCAAACGAGCAUUUAUGGACUGAAAAAAAUAGAAAAUAGAAAAUAAACAGUCCUAUCUACAAUUUACUCAGCAUUAACGAUCAUUUAUUACGAUUGAAGAUAGACAACAAGAUUCCAUUGAUGUUGGUCUUACCUAAGGAUCGUAGCAAUAGAAAUGGAAAUUCUUAUCGCCACCCGUGACUGUGGAUUAAAUUAUGUAAAUUUCCGGGUGUGUCAGUGGUGGUCGAUGAAAAAAAAAAAUUCAUCGAUCAGGUAUUCCUUUAAAAUUCGAAUGCCAUUGCAAUUGAUAUACGAAUAAGGGAUAAGAAAAGAUAAGAAAAGCAUGCUAUGAUACUUGGACAUUUAUGAUUCUGCGACAAGUAUACAAGUAUAAUUGCUUAUGGAUGUGGACACGCCCUGAAAGAAAAAUUCAUCUCAGGAAUGCGCUGAAGUAAUCACGUCCUUGACCGUACUUGACGGAAAUGGCAUUCAACCUUCUUCUUCGUUGUCUAAGAUGGGAUUCUAUCGUAAGAUAGUUAUAUUCUAGGUGAACGCCAUGUUUGGAACAUUUAUCUGAUAAUUAUCCAAUGAAAAUAUCGAAAAUAAUCUUGAAAAAAAAUAAUGUAUUAAAAGUUUAAUUUGAGAAAAGAAUACUGGAUGCUUAAAUAGAAAUCAACUAAAUUUUGUAUUAUAAAUAAUAAUGCAUCUUAAUACAUAAUUGAAAAAAUAAUUUUUUUAAUAUAAUUGUUACAAUAACUACUAUGAUCAUUCGUCAAUUAAUGUAACAAUUGAUGUAAUAUAUUUUUAAAUAAACCGAUUAUUUACGAAAAAUAAUGAUUAUCUAUUUAAUUUAGGAUUUACAAAACAUCUAAUCUUCAAACCAGUUUUCAAGAAUAUUAGAUACAUUAAUGAACAAUAUAGUAUCAUAAUAAUAUCAUAUAUGUACAUAUUAGAAUAAAUUAUUCAUCUCUUU